UGAACGGCGGUAUAAAUAGCUUCCUGACCCUUCUACUCUGUUUGCUGAACUGAAGACUGAGACCAUGCCAAACAUUUCCAAGAUUUGAAGAGACAAACUGAGGCCUUUUUAGACGCGUGGUCAGUUUAAUUUUUAAGGCUUUUUUCAUGCUGGUUUCAGUCGCUAUCUCUAUAGUACAACACAUAUACGUAUAUAUGUAACAGCCAGCGGAUAACGUACUUUAAACAGGAAGGCCGAGGGCUAAUCACGGAGCAGGUGCUGCAUGGCGGCUCCUACAGUCAAGAAGAAGAUGGCAGAGCGACCGACUGUCCUGGCCAGUCCCUGCAGCAGUCAGCUUAAGACACCAAAAUGUGGAACAGCUGUUGCCUCCCGGAGGAGACUCGCAAAGCAGCAGGAGGAGGUGUUGCAUCAUGAGGUGUGUUCAGCCGUCGCCUGUCGCUGCUGUGAAAGGUUUGUCCACUGCAGAAUACGAUGAUGAUAAUGAAGUGUGUUUAUAUAGAGCUACUCACAGCACUUCAGUGAAGGGAAAACUCUUCUGAACCACCAUGUGUAGCACCCCACCUGGCUGAUGAAGCAUAGAGCCAAUUACACUUGUACACAGUUAUGAUUGAAAGCAGCACUUACAUGUGACUUUCACUGUAAUAGUUUUGGCUGGUGGCCUUUCUGUAGUCUCGGUUUCACAUUAAAGUGACGACAGACCUCAUUUUAGUUUCAUUCGCCGUGUAAAUAAAAUGAAUAAACUAAA